rnacentral:lncRNA from 1 species
GACCAGCGGUCCGGGGGCAUCGGGAUGGGGGGGUAGCCGCGCGGCAGUUUGAACGGCGAAAAAUGGGCAAGAUCGGGGGCCGCUUUGUAGGCUUUGCCGGUUUCGGCCGUAACUCAUGAUCCGGGCCUCCGAUUCCGUUUCCGUUUGGUCCCACAGGACCAGCGGUCCGGGGGCAUCGGGAUGGGGGGGUAGCCGUGCGGCGGUUUGAUCGCCGAAAA